rnacentral:lncRNA from 1 species
AGCCUCAUGAGAUCCCCAGGAGCUGAUGGCAGGAGCCAGCCAGAGGUGGAAAUAAAUGCCUAGCGCCAUACAAGUAUAAUUUUGCCCUUGGAUUUGUAACUUAGAAAUUAUCCGGUCCAGUGCUUCGCAAACUGAGAGCCCCAAGCCAUCAAUAGAACAAUGACAGAGACCGACUGGAAAUGGAGAUCUGCGAGCAUCCGCAUCUGUAUUGGUCAGGCUCUGGCAGAGCCUCUCAGGGGACAGCCAUACCAGGCUCCUGCUAACAAGAACUUCUUGGCAUCAGCAAUAGUGUCUGGGUUUGGUGUCUGCAUGUGGGAUGGAUCCCCAGGACUGAAGCAUCCACACUUUGGUCUUCCCUCUUCUUGAGCUUCAUGUGAUCCAUGAGUUGUAUUGUGGGUAUUCCGAGCUUUUUUCCUAAUAUCCACUUAUCGAUGAGGAAAAUGAGAUCCGGAGAAAACAAAAGAUGGACUUUCCAGGCAUCGCUGUCACGGUGUUGUGGCAGCAGGACCAGAUCCAGACAUCUGAAGAAGAUGCUAAGCAGCUGAGACCAAACUGAGACCCCACCAGGGGCUGGUGCUUCUGCAGCAGAGGAGGUUUUAAGAAGUGAUCCACAGAGAGGAAAUCUGCCACGUUCCCCCCAAGACAUCCAUCUCCUGGGUUGCCACUCCAGAAUGGGAAUGGCGCAGACCUCACGGGAAGUCACCGGGGACAGCCCAUUUUCUAGGUCUCUAGGGCCUUUUACCCAUUGCAGUACUCCUAUGUGAGUUACAGCCCAGUGAGGGAAGAGAUUAAAUUAGCACUUUGAUGAGGGAAAUUGUAAUACAAAUUGUUCCCUGAAAGACAUUUGAUGACUAAAACC